AUUGAACGCUGGCGGCAUGCUUUACACAUGCAAGUCGAACGGCAGCGCGGGCUUCGGCCUGGCGGCGAGUGGCGAACGGGUGAGUAAUGCAUCUGAACGUGCCCAGUAGUGGGGGAUAGCCCGGCGAAAGCCGGAUUAAUACCGCAUACGACCUGAGGGUGAAAGCGGGGGACCGAAAGGCCUCGCGCUAUUUGAGCGGCCGAUGUCGGAUUAGCUAGUUGGUGGGGUAAAGGCUUACCAAGGCGACGAUCCGUAGCUGGUCUGAGAGGACGACCAGCCACACUGGGACUGAGACACGGCCCAGACUCCUACGGGAGGCAGCAGUGGGGAAUUUUGGACAAUGGGGGCAACCCUGAUCCAGCCAUGCCGCGUGCGGGAAGAAGGCCUUCGGGUUGUAAACCGCUUUUGUUCGGGAAGAAAUCCUCUGGGCUAAUACCCCGGGGGGAUGACGGUACCGGAAGAAUAAGCACCGGCUAACUACGU
rnacentral:rRNA from 1 species